rnacentral:tRNA from 2 species
GCGGGUGUAAUUCAAUGGUAGAAUUCGAGCCUUCCAAGCUCGCAGCGCGGGUUCGAUUCCCGUCACCCGCUCCA